UACGUAGGGGGCUAGCGUUGUCCGGAAUCAUUGGGCGUAAAGCGCGCGUAGGCGGUCAGGUAAGUCCGGUGUGAAAGUCAAAGGCUCAACCUUUGAAUGCCGCUGGAUACUGCUUGACUUGAGUCCGGAAGGGGCGAGUGGAAUUCCUGGUGUAGCGGUGAAAUGCGCAGAUAUCAGGAGGAACACCGGUGGCGAAGGCGGAUCUCUGGGCCUUGCCUGACGCUGAGGCGCGAAAGCUAGGGGAGCGAACAGG
rnacentral:rRNA from 1 species